GCAUAUGAGUACGAGCUUCCCAAGCCGUGGGACUUUGACGAGAAAAAGUGUGAGUAAGAAGAAAACUUAAUCUAGAAGACGAAUCAUCUGCAGUUUUCCGAUUCGAGAUUUUAGAUAUGCAAGCUGAACUUUGAUGGCGUCAAAAACCCAGGAGUUGAAUGAGGUCCCUAACGACCAGUCAACAAUUAAACUUAUUUGUCCGUUAAAGGAAGAUAUUUUUUCUUUUCUUUUCUUCUAUAAUCGUGAUGAAAUAUAUCUUUUCUGACUAAUGAAUCCAUGAAUAAAAGAAAUUGUACGAGAGAUUAAGUUAUAAUAGAUUAAAUGCAAAGGAAAUGUAGCAUGCAUUUUAACGUACAAUAUUUAUUUCUUGUUAAAAUAUCUUCCUUUCCUUCAUCGUUGGCUGACAUUAAAAGAUUUAUGUAU